rnacentral:lncRNA from 1 species
AAAUGGGCAUAAAUUUAAUUCUGGAAGGAUAAAUUUGGCAUUCUGAGAGCUAAAUGUGCAUUGAGCAAGGUUUAAAAGUGCCGUGGCACGGGAGUGUGCCGUUGUCUGCCUGGCAUGGUAUGGCACCGGCACGCUUCUGUGCCGACACUUGGUAACGCUUGCGUGCCGAUGGAUACGUAUGACCUCCUACUGGUACGCUUUGGCACGGAUUUUUUUCAGUUUUUUUAGUUUCAAUAAACUCUUAUAAUAUUAUUUUGAAAGAUUUAAUCAAAUAAUUAUGAAUAUCUAUUAUGUAUAACUUACUAUACUCAUCAAUUAAUAAUAUACUUGUAAGCUUUUUUAUAUGUAAAGUACAACUACACCUGAUGCAGAAUAAAAAUUUUUACAGAUUAGAAUUUUAAGAAUGCAAAAACAUAUUUCUUUCUUUCUUUUGACCAUAUUACAGUUUUUCUUUUAUAAAAUACAAAAAAAAUAAUUUUUAAAGUAACUUUAAAAAUUAUUUAAAAAAAUU